rnacentral:rRNA from 1 species
UUAUCCGCGGUAUUUGACCGUGCGAAGGUAGCAUAAUCAGUAGUCUUUUAAUUGAAGGCUUGAAUGAACGGCUGGAUAAGGGAAAAGCUGUCUUUUUUUCAAAUUAGAAUUUGACUUUUAAGUGAAAAGGCUUAAAUUAUUUAGGGGGACGAUAAGACCCUAUAAAACUUAAUAAAAGGUUUAUUUUAACUUUGAAUUAUAUUAAAAAGUUGUGAAAUUCUCUUUUUAUUUUGUUGGGGCGACAUUGAUAUAAGUUGUAACUGUCUUAAUAAUAAUAUAACUAUCAUUAUAAAUUGAUCCUUUUUUAGGGAUAGAAAGUAUAAGUUACUUUAGGGAUAACAGCGUGAUUUUUUCUGAGAGUUCUUAUCGAAGAAAAUAGUUGCGACCUCGAUGUUGAAUUAAAAUUUCAUGCAGGUGUAGCCGCUUGCUGUGUAGGUCUGUUCGACCUUUAAAAUUUUACAUGAUUUGAGUUCAAACCGGUGUGAGCCAGGUUGGUUCUAUCUAA